rfam:Brachypodium distachyon strain Bd21 chromosome 1, whole genome shotgun sequence.
UAGCUUUGUCCUAAGUCAAAACUUCUUCAACUUUGACCGAGUUUAUAGAAAAAUCUACUAAUAUCUACAAUAUCAAAUAAAUACACCACGAGAUGCAGACCAUGACAGAUUUAAUAAAACUAUUUAAAGUUAUAGAUGUUGGUUGAUUUUUCUAUAAACUUGGUCAAACUUUAAGAAGUUUGACUUAGGACAAAUCUAG